rnacentral:snoRNA from 1 species
UAGCCUGAAGUGAUGAGCUUGGUUCAUGUCUCUUCUCUGAGGUUUAUGCUGGAGAUACUCAAAGACUCUGAUCAGGCAC